UUUUUUUUAAAAAUCAAAAUCCCCGCCUAGAUACUCUUGUGCUUUCGCGCUUGAUCUAGCUAGUUUUCUCUCUCUCUUCGACGCACAAGUACGCGUAUAGUGCAGCUAGGGGAAGCUCUCUGUUCGAUUUCUGGCUAAUCGAUCUAUUAACUGAAAUUACACGCAUCUCUCUCUCCCUCCUCCGGGACGCAGCCGCUGCCCUCAUCUUGAAGCCGCCGUCGCCUGACCUCAUCACGACGCCGCCGCCGACUCCAGCCCACUUCGCCAGCUCGAUCUCCUCCCUCGAGCCCAUCGGUUGACAUGAGAGCUAGGAUUCGUGGAAACAAGGGAUACUAGUUUUCCAAAUUGCGAAAUCAAUUUGGGUAGCAUGCACUUGUAGGGUUUGAACAAAAAGCCUCCUGCACUCAGCAACUAUUGGAACCGUUAUAAUAUGGAUGUGGAAGGUAUCAGAUUCAACGGAUACUUGCAGUUACAAUUCCUCUUUGUUAUACCCUGUAAAUUUUUUACUUUCCCAGUAAGAAUUUUUUUUACUUUUGUUUUUAAUGUGGAAGAAAACAGAAUUAAACGAUAUUUCCCUAUCUAAUAAAAAUACGUCAGGAGUGCCGCUGGUUGGCUGCGGCUGGUUUUGCUUUAGAAA